UUAGGAAUAUUCGUCAAUGGGGGAAACCCUGAACGAGCAAUGCCGCGUGAAGGAUGACGGUCCUAUGGAUUGUAAACUUCUGUUGUUAGGGAAGAACGACCUAAGUAGGAAAUGACUUAGGAGUGACGGUACCUUUCAAGAAAGCUCCGGCUAACUACGUGCCAGCAGCCGCGGUAAUACGUAGGGAGCGAGCGUUAUCCGGAUUUAUUGGGUGUAAAGGGUGCGUAGGCGGCUUCUUAAGUCUGUAGUCUAAGCCCGGAGCUUAACUCCGGUUCGCUACAGAAACUGAUUAGCUUGAGUAUGGUAGAGGCAAGUGGAAUUUCUAGUGUAGCGGUUAAAUGCGUAGAUAUUAGAAGGAACACCAGUGGCGAAGGCGACUUGCUGGGCCAUCACUGACGCUGAGGCACGAAAGCGUGGGGAGCAAAUAGG
rnacentral:rRNA from 1 species